CGUGACUCAUAACCUUACAUCAUCCCAUUGUGAGAUGCUCUGCCCAGGGGGAGGAACCAAGCAUUGCUACCUGGAUAUGAUCUGAGGUUUGGAACACCACAGUCAGCCUUACCUACUGGAUUCCCAGAGGACAAGAGCUACAUAAGCACUGCUGGACCUUCAGAGAAAGACCAGACCCCUCUACAGAGUCACUGCUUCAACAGUGAUUGAAGAGAUUCAAAGAGGACUGCAGCCACCACCCUGCAGAUCCAAGUUCCUUCUGGGACUCUUUCUUUGCUGUAGCAAAACCACAUCAUAUCUCCAGGCCAGACAGCACCUUCAUCAGCUGUUGAGGGGUACUUCUAAAGAAUGGCAGGAGCUGGUCUCCCACCCCUUACUUCAGGAUCUGCUGCAAGAGUCUGUCUUCUCUGGAAUUGUCUUCACAUCUUUCAAAAGGAGCGUCUGGGAAUGUCCCACAUGGGGAUCUAGUUUCAUUCUUGGUGUUGCCCAACACUGAAUCAGUGGGUAAUGAAGUGGAUGACUUUCUUUUCCUAUCUAUUUUCCACAGAAAAAUCUCUAACAAAUAUUACAUUUCUCUAAUUCUUGUUCUAAUUUCAGCAAACAUAUACACAUAGAUACCCUCCUGGCUACUGCUUAAAAUUAAGGAGAUACAUAUAUCUGAAGGUUAUUUGGGUUAUACACCAUCCAGCACAUGACAC
rnacentral:lncRNA from 13 species